AAAACAAACCUACGGGAGGCAGCAAUGGGGAAUAUUGGACAAUGGGCGCAAGCCUGAUCCAGCCAUGCCGCGUGAGUGAUGAAGGCCCUAGGGUUGUAAAGCUCUUUCACCGGUGAAGAUAAUGACGGUAACCGGAGAAGAAGCCCCGGCUAACUUCGUGCCAGCAGCCGCGGUAAUACGAAGGGGGCUAGCGUUGUUCGGAAUUACUGGGCGUAAAGCGCACGUAGGCGGAUUGUUAAGUUAGGGGUGAAAUCCCAGGGCUCAACCCUGGAACUGCCUUUAAUACUGGCAAUCUAGAGUCCGAGAGAGGUGAGUGGAAUUCCGAGUGUAGAGGUGAAAU
rnacentral:rRNA from 1 species